rnacentral:rRNA from 1 species
AGCAGCCGCGGUAAUUCCAGCUCCAAUAGCGUAUAUUAAAGUUGUUGCGGUUAAAAAGCUCGUAGUUGAAUUUCGGGGUUAGUAGGUUGGUCGUAUCACUGGUAUGUACUGGCUCUACUGAUCCCUCCUUCUUGUAGAACCGUAAUGCCAUUAACUUGGUGUUGCGGGGAAACAGGACUGUUACUUUGAAAAAAUUAGAGUGUUUAAAGCAGGCUAACGCUUGAAUACAUUAGCAUGGAAUAAUGAAAUAGGACGCUCGAUCCUAUUUUGUUGGUUUCUAGGAUUGACGUAAUGAUUAAUAGGGAUAGUUGGGGGCAUUAGUAUUCAAUUGUCAGAGGUGAAAUUCUUGGAUUUAUUGAAGACUAACUACUGCGAAAGCAUUUGCCAAGGAUGUUUUCAUUAAUCAAGAACGAAAGUUAGGGAUCGAAGACGAUCAGAUACCGUCGUAGUCUUAACCAUAAACUAUGCCGACUAGGGAUCGGGAUGAUGUUAAUUUUAUGUACUCAUUCGGCGCCUUACG